AGAUUGAACGCUGGCGGCAGGCCUAACACAUGCAAGUCGAGCGGCAGCACGGGUACUUGUACCUGGUGGCGAGCGGCGGACGGGUGAGUAAUGCCUAGGAAUCUGCCUGAUAGUGGGGGAUAACGUUCGGAAACGGACGCUAAUACCGCAUACGUCCUACGGGAGAAAGUGGGGGAUCUUCGGACCUCACGCUAUCAGAUGAGCCUAGGUCGGAUUAGCUAGUUGGUAGGGUAAGGCCUACCAAGGCUGCGAUCCGUAACUGGUCUGAGAGGAUGAUCAGUCACACUGGAACUGAGACACGGUCCAGACUCCGUACGGGAGUAGCGAGUGGGAAUAUUGGACAAGUGGGACGAAAGCCCUAGACUACCACGCCAUCGCCGCGUGUGUGAAGG
rnacentral:rRNA from 1 species